AUCAGUGGGCCUGGCAACUUCACCGAAGAGCCGGGCACUGAGACGACUCAUGCGCAAGGCAUAUUCUGAAAGUGAAGACAUUUCCUGAGCAGCAAGGAGCACGGGUCCCUACAGAAAAUGAGAAGAAACAUCAACAGACCCAUUGAAAGAGCAGAGGCUGACCUCAGAACAAUUGCAGAAUGUGGAUCUCAAACCAGUUACCAAUCGUUUAACACCAACCAAGCAAACCUGGGCCAAUAGUGCCAUCUGAAGGCCAGCAAUGGGAGAACCAUUGGAUCUAGGGUCUCUUCUCUGCCCCUCCAACCUGGGGAUCCCAUGCAAACCUUGCUUUUUCCAUUUCCUGUCACUUCUCUCUCAACUCUUAGAGUUGUGUGAAUGGGAGUGGGUUGGGUUGGGUUGGCUUGUUAGGGGUAAAGUUAUAUUUUCAUCAGUGAGAAAAAAAGGCAUUAACAGUUCAAUGUAUAAAUACGAAAUCGUAAUAAAUCAGUGCUGUAAACCUCUAACGGCCUUGCAGACUCCAUAGUGGUCUUCAGAGGCUACAAAGUUUCUUUGCAUGCUUUACCUUUCCUCUUUAAAGUUAUCUUUUUCUGAACAUCAGAUUUAAAAAAAAAACUAAAACAAACGGUUUCUUAAUCACCUUUGCUUUGUUUUGCUUAACUGCUAUUAUGGCAUUAGAAUAAAUUUCUUCUGCAAGUGCA